rnacentral:rRNA from 1 species
GGGGAAUAUUGCGCAAUGGGGGAAACCCUGACGCAGCGACGCCGCGUGGGUGAUGAAGGCCUUCGGGUCGUAAAGCCCUGUCGUCGGGGAAGAACCGGUUACGGGCUAAUAUCCCGUGCCCUUGACGGUACCCUACAAGAAAGCACCGGCUAACUCCGUGCCAGCAGCCGCGGUAAUACGGAAGGGGCGAGCGUUGUUCGGAAUUAUUGGGCGUAAAGGGCGUGUAGGCGGCUUCGCAGGUCUGUGGUGAAAGGAUACAGCUCAACUGUAUUGAGCCGCGGAAACGGCGGAGCUUGAGGCUGGGAGGGGCUGGUGGAAUUCCCUGUGUAGCGGUGAAAUGCGUAGAGAUGGGGGAGAACACUCGUGGCGAAGGCGGCCAGCUGGACCAGUUCUGACGCUGAGACGCGAAAGCGUGGGGAGCAA